rnacentral:rRNA from 1 species
AGGUUAAGUUACAAAGGGCGCACGGUGGAUGCCUUGGCACUAGGAGCCGAUGAAGAACGUACAAAAAACCAUAUGCGUCGGGGAGCUAUAAGUAAGAUUUGAUCCGGAUAUUACCUAAUGGGGGAACCAAGUACACAUCAUUGUAUUGCAUGCAAGUGAAAACAUAGCUGGUUGGCGGCAGACCCGGGGACCUGAACAAUAUCAGUACCCGCAGGAAGAGAAAGAAAACUCGAUUCCCAUAGUAGCGGCGAGCGAAGUGGGAAGAGCCCAAACCGAGAAGCUUGCUUCUCGGGGUUGUA